GACGAACGCUGGCGGCGUGCUUAACACAUGCAAGUCGAACGGAAAGGCCCUGCUUUUGUGGGGUGCUCGAGUGGCGAACGGGUGAGUAACACGUGAGUAACCUGCCCUUGACUUUGGGAUAACUUCAGGAAACUGGGGCUAAUACCGGAUAGGAGCUCCUGCUGCAUGGUGGGGGUUGGAAAGUUUCGGCGGUUGGGGAUGGACUCGCGGCUUAUCAGCUUGUUGGUGGGGUAGUGGCUUACCAAGGCUUUGACGGGUAGCCGGCCUGAGAGGGUGACCGGCCACAUUGGGACUGAGAUACGGCCCAGACUGCUAGAGGAGGCAGCAGUGGGGAAUAUUGCACAAUGGGCGGAAGCCUGAUGCAGCAACGCCGCGUGCGGGAUGACGGCCUUCGGGUUGUAAACCGCUUUCGCCUGUGACGAAGCGUGAGUGACGGUAAUGGGUAAAGAAGCACCGGCUAACUACGUG
rnacentral:rRNA from 1 species